rnacentral:rRNA from 1 species
CUGCGGGAAUUGUAAUUUGAAGGUUUCGUGGUCUGAGUCGGCCGCGCCCAAGUCCAUUGGAACAUGGCGCCUGGGAGGGUGAGAGCCCCGUAUGGCGCACGCCGACUCUUUGUAC